UUAAGCGACUAAGCGUACACGGUGGAUGCCCUGGCAGUCAGAGGCGAUGAAGGGCGUGCUAAUCUGCGAUAAGCGCCGGUAAGGUGAUAUGAACCGUUAUAACCGGCGAUACCCGAAUGGGGAAACCCAGUGUGACUCGUCACACUAUCAUUAACUGAAUCCAUAGGUUAAUGAGGCGAACCGGGGGAACUGAAACAUCUAAGUACCCCGAGGAAAAGAAAUCAACCGAGAUUCCCCCAGUAGCGGCGAGCGAACGGGGAGGAGCCCAGAGCCUGAAUCAGCAUGUGUGUUAGUGGAAGCGUCUGGAAAGGCGCGCGAUACAGGGUGACAGCCCCGUACACAAAAGCGCAUGUGCUGUGAGCUCGAUGAGUAGGGCGGGACACGUGGUAUCCUGUCUGAAUAUGGGGGGACCAUCCUCCAAGGCUAAAUACUCCUGACUGACCGAUAGUGAACCAGUACCGUGAGGGAAAGGCGAAAAGAACCCCGGCGAGGGGAGUGAAAAAGAACCUGAAACCGUGUACGUACAAGCAGUGGGAGCCCCACCACUAAGCCAGUGGUGAACUCCACAUACGCAUCCUUUGCUGAGGAUACGGUUAACGGAGCGAAAGCGACGUUCAACCUCAAAAGAAGCAGAGGGGGCUUAGUGGUGGGGUGACUGCGUACCUUUUGUAUAAUGGGUCAGCGACUUAUAUUCUGUAGCAAGGUUAACCGAAUAGGGGAGCCGGAGGGAAACCGAGUCUUAAUUGGGCGUUAAGUUGCAGGGUAUAGACCCGAAACCCGGUGAUCUAGCCAUGGGCAGGUUGAAGGUUGGGUAACACUAACUGGAGGACCGAACCGACUAAUGUUGAAAAAUUAGCGGAUGACCUGUGGCUGGGGGUGAAAGGCCAAUCAAACCGGGAGAUAGCUGGUUCUCCCCGAAAGCUAUUUAGGUAGCGCCUCGUGAAUUCAUCUCCGGGGGUAGAGCACUGUUUCGGCUAGGGGGCCAUCCCGGCUUACCAACCCGAUGCAAACUGCGAAUACCGGAGAAUGUUAUCACGGGAGACACACGGCGGGUGCUAACGUCCGUCGUGAAGAGGGAAACAACCCAGACCGCCAGCUAAGGUCCCAAAGUCAUGGUUAAGUGGGAAACGAUGUGGGAAGGCCCAGACAGCCAGGAUGUUGGCUUAGAAGCAGCCAUCAUUUAAAGAAAGCGUAAUAGCUCACUGGUCGAGUCGGCCUGCGCGGAAGAUGUAACGGGGCUAAACCAUGCACCGAAGCUGCGGCAGCGAACGUAUCACUUAAAGCGAUUCAGCGGGUUACGAUUGACGGAGCGAAGCGACGUCAAAGCGUAUACAAAGUCGAGUCGGUUUAAGGAUACGUUCGUUGGGUAGGGGAGCGUUCUGUAAGCCUGUGAAGGUGGCCUGUGAGGGUUGCUGGAGGUAUCAGAAGUGCGAAUGCUGACAUAAGUAACGAUAAAGCGGGUGAAAAGCCCGCUCGCCGGAAGACCAAGGGUUCCUGUCCAACGUUAAUCGGGGCAGGGUGAGUCGACCCCUAAGGCGAGGCCGAAAGGCGUAGUCGAUGGGAAACGGGUUAAUAUUCCCGUACUUGGUGUUACUGCGAAGGGGGGACGGAGAAGGCUAUGUUGGCCGGGCGACGGUUGUCCCGGUUUAAGCGUGUAGGCUGGUUUUCCAGGCAAAUCCGGAAAAUCAAGGCUGAGGCGUGACGACGAGGCACUACGGUGCUGAAGCAACAAAUGCCCUGCUUCCAGGAAAAGCCUCUAAGCAUCAGGUAACAUCAAAUCGUACCCCAAACCGACACAGGUGGUCAGGUAGAGAAUACCAAGGCGCUUGAGAGAACUCGGGUGAAGGAACUAGGCAAAAUGGUGCCGUAACUUCGGGAGAAGGCACGCUGACAUGUAGGUGAAGUGAUUUACUCAUGGAGCUGAAGUCAGUCGAAGAUACCAGCUGGCUGCAACUGUUUAUUAAAAACACAGCACUGUGCAAACACGAAAGUGGACGUAUACGGUGUGACGCCUGCCCGGUGCCGGAAGGUUAAUUGAUGGGGUCAGCGCAAGCGAAGCUCCUGAUCGAAGCCCCGGUAAACGGCGGCCGUAACUAUAACGGUCCUAAGGUAGCGAAAUUCCUUGUCGGGUAAGUUCCGACCUGCACGAAUGGCGUAAUGAUGGCCAGGCUGUCUCCACCCGAGACUCAGUGAAAUUGAACUCGCUGUGAAGAUGCAGUGUACCCGCGGCAAGACGGAAAGACCCCGUGAACCUUUACUAUAGCUUGACACUGAACAUUGAGCCUUGAUGUGUAGGAUAGGUGGGAGGCUUUGAAGCGUGGACGCCAGUCUGCGUGGAGCCGACCUUGAAAUACCACCCUUUAAUGUUUGAUGUUCUAACGUGGACCCGUUACCCGGGUUGCGGACAGUGUCUGGUGGGUAGUUUGACUGGGGCGGUCUCCUCCUAAAGAGUAACGGAGGAGCACGAAGGUUGGCUAAUCCUGGUCGGACAUCAGGAGGUUAGUGCAAUGGCAUAAGCCAGCUUGACUGCGAGCGUGACGGCGCGAGCAGGUGCGAAAGCAGGUCAUAGUGAUCCGGUGGUUCUGAAUGGAAGGGCCAUCGCUCAACGGAUAAAAGGUACUCCGGGGAUAACAGGCUGAUACCGCCCAAGAGUUCAUAUCGACGGCGGUGUUUGGCACCUCGAUGUCGGCUCAUCACAUCCUGGGGCUGAAGUAGGUCCCAAGGGUAUGGCUGUUCGCCAUUUAAAGUGGUACGCGAGCUGGGUUUAGAACGUCGUGAGACAGUUCGGUCCCUAUCUGCCGUGGGCGCUGGAGAACUGAGGGGGGCUGCUCCUAGUACGAGAGGACCGGAGUGGACGCAUCACUGGUGUUCGGGUUGUCAUGCCAAUGGCACUGCCCGGUAGCUAAAUGCGGAAGAGAUAAGUGCUGAAAGCAUCUAAGCACGAAACUUGCCCCGAGAUGAGUUCUCCCUGAGACUUUAGGUCUCCUGAAGGAACGUUGAAGACGACGACGUUGAUAGGCCGGGUGUGUAAGCGCAGCGAUGCGUUGAGCUAACCGGUACUAAUGAACCGUGAGGCUUAACCUU
rnacentral:rRNA from 1 species